GUGCCUAACACAUGCAAGUCGAACGCGAAGACUGCCUUCGGGUCGUUAUUAAAGCGGCGCAUGGGUGACUAACACGUGGGUAAUCUGCCCCCGAGCCCGGGAUAUCCCAGGGAAACUUGUGCUAAUACCGGAUAAGACCACGGGACGAGAGUCUAGUGGUAAAAGCGGAGGACCUCUUGGGAGGCUUCGUACUCGAGGAUGAGCCCGCGUCCCAUCAGGUAGUAGGCGGGGUAACGGCCCACCAAGCCAAAGACGGGUAGCUGGUCUGAGAGGAUGAUCAGCCACACUGGAACUGAGACACGGUCCAGACUCCUACGGGAGGCAGCAGUGGGGAAUCUUGCGCAAUGGGCGAAAGCCUGACGCAGCAACGCCGCGUGAGUGAUGAAGGUCUUCGGAUCGUAAAGCUCUGUCGACAGGAAAGACGGGUAACGUGGCCAAUAUCCACGGGACCUGACGGUACCUGUAAAGGAAGCACCGGCUAACUCUGUGCCAGCAGCCGCGGUAAUACAGAGGGUGCAAGCGUUGUUCGGAAUUAUUGGGCGUAAAGGGCGUGUAGGCGGCGCUGUAAGUCGGAUGUGAAAUCCCAGGGCUUAACCCUGGAAGUGCGUUCGAUACUGCAGUGCUUGAGUCCCGGUGAGGGUGGUGGAAUUCCCAGAGUAGAGGUGAAAUUCGUAGAUAUUGGGAGGAACACCGGUGGCGAAGGCGACCCCCUGGUCGGUGACUGACGCUGAGACGCGAAAGAGUGGGGAGCGAACAGGAUUAGAUACCCUGGUAGUCCACGCCGUAAACGAUGAGUACUAGGUGUUGCGGGUAUUGACCCCUGCAGUGCCGACGCUAACGCAUUAAGUAAUCCGC
rnacentral:rRNA from 1 species